ensembl:lncRNA
AUGGCUUCUGGGACAAUCAGCUGCCAGAAAUGUGUCACUUCAAGUGGUUUCCCAUAUUUCACGGAACAUCUUAUUUGGAUAAAACUUAAAUUAUUACCACACCAGUCUUUGCAGCCUUUCCCCCUUUCCGUUCCAAGAGCAGCCGUAAUCAAGCCUGACAAACUACUGAUUUCCACCAAAGCAAUUUCAACACCUAUGAAACAUCAGAACCAAAAGAAUGAGGAGGACUGAAGGUGUGGAGGACAUUCAGACAGAAGCCUCACGUUUUCAGACUCUCACUGACUCCUUCCUCCAGGCAGUCUUCCUAGGUUGGCUAGCAGCAACCUCAAUACCUGGCCCCGGAGGAUGGCAGAGAUGCAGCACUUUUGUUUGUUCCGUGCCCUCAGUCAAUGAGGAAGCUGUAUUCUGGACACUGGGGUAUGAUGACAAGUCCUCUGACUCAUGAAUCAGUCAGGGUGCAGGAGACAUAAGCAAGUAAACAGCAAUGGUCUGUGGCAAAAGUGAUGUGAAGGGAGAUGGAGGAGAGAAGAGGAAGUGGCAUAGAGGUUUCUCUGCCAGAGAGAUGAGGACAGAGAAGACCUUAAUGUUGGAUGUUGGUGCACAAAAGUAAUUGAGCUGAUCUUUAAAGGUGCUAGGGAUCUUUUUAAAAUAUAAAAUUAUUUAUUUUUAUUUGAGGGGCAGAGACAGAAAGAGGAAGAGAGAGAGAGAGAGACAUGUUCAAAUGCUCACAACAAACUAUAAACUCAAUCCAUGUCUCCCAGGUGGGUAGCAGGGACUCUAUUACUUGACUCACAACCUGCCACCUCCCGGGUUUUGCAUUGGCAGGGAUCUGGAUUUGGGAGCUGGAGCUUGGUAUUUAACCCAAGUAUUCCAAUAUAAAAUACAAGUCUCCCAACCAGAGGUCAGACCCCAGGAUGGUAGGGAUUUAAUAGGCAGAGCAAGGGCAGCAGAUGAGAGUAGAGAUGGGAACAUUUAUAAAUUAAAAAAAAAAAAAAGGCUGCUGGUACAUUCCAGGUGGAAGGGAAGCGGAAACUAAAGAAUGAAGAAUCUUUUGGGGUGGGGGAGAAUAAUCCAGUGUGGCUGGAAAUCCCCUACACAACAAGGGGGUGGGGUAACUACACUGCAAUGGAGAGGACAUCUAGAUUUGGUGACAGCCUGAAUUCAACAUUAGGUCCAACCUGUCCCUCUCUGCUGGCCUGUGGUAACGAUCUGUCUGCCUCCUGCCCUGUCACUAAACCACUGCUCUGAAAGCACUAACCUAACUUUGAGCUACAGGGUGAAAUAGACAACCAAAACACUUUGUACUCUCACUCACUGGGGGCGGGGGGGCGGGGGUUAACAUACUCUACUCCUGUAAUCUGGGCUGGCCCUGUGACUUGCAGAGGAGCAGAAGUGAUUGUAGAAGUCUUGAGCCAGGGCAUCAAGAACUUCACCUAUUUCCCUCUUGAAACCCUGUGACUUUCAUAUGAGCAGCCCAGAAAAACCUUCUGAAUGGAGAUCACAUGGACAACAGUCCCGGUCUGCUUAGCCACUGUAGCCAAAUCCACCCUAGACGAGCAUUCCUAGCCUGUCCAUGUGUUGACAAAACUGUAUCCCUGGGCUUAACCAACAUCAACUGAGCCAAGCUGAGCUGGAGAUUUGUCAGUGAUAACAAAUGGUUGUUGUUUUAAGCCCCCGAGUGUGGGGGUGAUUUGUUGGGUAAUAAAAGCUACCUGAUACAUAUGAUGAUGACUCA